GCCUACCGCCAAACCACCCCGAAUGUGCCUGAUCUUCUCUGAUCUCAGAAGCUAAGCAGGGUCAGACCUGGUUAGUUCUUGGAUGGGAGAUGGGGGCC
rnacentral:rRNA from 1 species